rnacentral:lncRNA from 1 species
UCACGUUCUCUUUGUUUCUUUAGAUUUUCCCACCAAAAAGAUGCAUUCCGCCUGAGUUUGAGUGCCACAAGUUUGACCUUCUUUUGUUCUGGUGGUUCAUGAAAAUCGAAGAUUCUUUCUACUGUAUUAAGCCAAUCGAUAAAGUCAUCAACAUUUAUUUUCCCUUCAAAUUCUGGAAUAGCAAAUCUGGGAUUAUAUUUAUUGUGCCACUCAUCUUGGACUUCAUUUCUUCUCCGACAUCUUCUUGACUCCCUUGGAAGAUGAGGUGUUUCAUCAUCAGAAGUAAACUCUCGAGUGUCAUUUUCAUGCUGGUUGUGUCUACUUUGAAAUUCAUCGAUUAUUUCAUUUUUUUCUUGUAGGCUACGCAACAAUUUUUGUAGCUGCAGCCUCAACGACUCAGCGUCAUUUUCAUGGUCGCCACCUUCACCAACUACAUCUUUUCCAUUCCGCC